AUUGAACGCUGGCGGCAUGCCUUACACAUGCCAGUCGAACGGCAGCACGGGAGCAAUCCUGGUGGCGAGUGGCGAACGGGUGAGUAAAGUAUCGGAACGUGCCCGGUCGUGGGGGAUAACGUAGCGAAAGUUACGCUAAUCCCGCAUAAGAGCAAUGGAGGAAAGCGGGGGAUCGCAAGACCUCGAGCGAUUGGAGCGGCCGAGAUCAGAUUAGGUAGUUGGUGGGGUAAAGGCUCACCAAGCCGACGAUCUGUAGCUGGUCUGAGAGGACGACCAGCCACACUGGGACUGAGACACGGCCCAGACUCCUACGGGAGGCAGCAGUGGGGAAUUUUGGACAAUGUGCGAAAGCCUGAUCCAGCCAUGCCGCGUGCAGGAUGAAGGCCUUCGGGUUGUAAACUGCUUUUGUACGGAACGAAAAGGUUUGGCCUAAUAAGCUGAGCUCAUGACGGUACCGUAAGAAUAAGCACCGGCUAACUACGUGCCAGCCGCCGCGGUAA
rnacentral:rRNA from 1 species